rnacentral:rRNA from 1 species
UACGUAGGGGGCAAGCGUUGUCCGGAUUUACUGGGCGUAAAGAGCGUGUAGGCGGCCACGCAGGUCCGUUGUGAAAACUGGAGGCUCAACCUCCAGCUGUCGACGGAAACCGUGUGGCUAGAGUCCGGAAGAGGAGAGUGGAAUUCCUGGUGUAGCGGUGAAAUGCGCAGAUAUCAGGAAGAACACCAACGGCGAAGGCAGCUCGCUGGGACGGUACUGACGCUGAGACGCGAAAGCGUGGGGAGCGAACAGG